GCAGAGCUAGCGCGCAAAUAUUAACUAUUAAGCUAGCUAGUACCUAUUCCAUUUAUGUGGCGUCGUCAAAGAUGGAAUCAGCAUGCAGAUGAUGCAGAGCAGGCAACAGAUGGCACACAGACAGCAGAGUUGGGGACAGAUAUGCAGGGACAGACUGGCAGAGACAGGGAGUCUCAGGUGCAGCUCCAUCUGUAAGUGGCGACGCUGAAGCUGACAUAGCAGCCUCGUAGUUACAACGGGCCCAUGUUGCAAUGCUUGGAUUCAAUGCUCUGGUUCAAACUCAAUCCGUUAAUUAGUCAUUAAGACGUCGCAGC
rnacentral:lncRNA from 1 species